rnacentral:rRNA from 1 species
UACGUAGGGGGCAAGCGUUGUCCGGAAUUAUUGGGCGUAAAGAGCGUGUAGGCGGUUCGGUAAGUCUGCUGUGAAAGUCCAGGGCUCAACCCUGGAAAGCCGGUGGAUACUGUCGGACUAGAGUGCGGAAGAGGCGAGUGGAAUUCCCGGUGUAGCGGUGAAAUGCGCAGAUAUCGGGAGGAACACCAAUUGCGAAGGCAGCUCGCUGGGACGUGACUGACGCUGAGACGCGAAAGCGUGGGGAGCAAACAGG